ensembl:lncRNA
UUUUUUAUUUUUCCAUUGGAUUUUCUAAAAUAAAAUCUCUCUCACUCCAAAAGAACUCCUUCUUGAACUGUUCUUGUUAAUUAAAGAGAAGCUUAUCUAAGAACAUUUUUAUGAUCUCUGCUUCUCACCAUCCUCCUCACAAUUGCAGUACAUCACACAAUCCAAACUGUUUUCUAACACCAAUGUUAUUCUCAAACCAAAGGAUAUUUUGUUUGCACUGGCUGACUUCUGACAACACUGAACACUGGACGUUUUAUCAUCUAAAAAGCCGAAUUCCUACUCUGAUAACAAAAGUAACAUCUGCUUUAAAAACAACAACAAAAAGCAAAAUUAAGAACACCCCAGAUAAUUUGACUAAAAUGUAUACUCUAAUCCAGUGCUUCCUAAUCCAAGUGGGCUCUGCAAUUGCAGAAUUCCUAUGAAUUUAAAAAUAGGAAAUCUAGAUGCUGGGAUCUCUGGUUCUUUCUGGCAAUGUUUUGUGCUGCUGCUUGCUCUAAUGUACGGCCUGUACAGAAGCAACCUACUGCCCUCUUGACAUUUAGUACACCAUCUUCUCUCAGAAUUCCAACUCAGAGCUUUGGCUGUAAAGAAAGCUUCUACUAACUUUUUUUUUUUCCUAGCAGAUCUCUGUUUCAUCUACCCAGGUACCUAGCAAUAGUCAAUUACAUAAAGAAAGGAGACAAGAUAGGAUCUCUUUUGCAUGUAUGCAAUUAUAUUAUGGUAGUAAGAAAGCAUAGGAGUGAGAUACUCAGUAGUGGAUGCUGUGAUUAUAUAAGCCACCCGCACAGCACCAGCUUAGUCCCGCUGUUCUUUCACUCCCCAACCUCUCUUUGGUGAGAUUCAGGGUAUGUUUUAUGUUUGACAAAGCAGGGACAGAGAGUGUGUCAAGAGGCAAGUUUGGGCUCCCUGAAUCUCAGUCCCCAAUACCCAACCCUAGAAAACAUUAAGGAAGAUAGAAAUCUGCUUUGACACUUGCCAGAUGUCAAAGCUUAGAACUAUACCACCUGAAAAGAAAUAGCAGAAAGACACAGCUCUAGUUAUAUUUUUCUCCAUCCCCAGUGAACAUGCUAUGCCAAGAUUAGUGUUUUCUGGGGACUGGAUAUACACUGAGCCUUCUCAGCUGGAAAGCCAUAAGUAUUUUCUGGUCGGCUUGUACUGUUUCAAAGCCACCCUGGAAGCAGAGCAUAGCCAGAUAGGCCCUUGUGUUCAUGUUUCAUUCCAAGUGCCUGGAAUAUACAUCCCUCCCCUCAACCCCAAGCUUAUGUAACUGGAUGGCUCACUUUGUUAGCAGCAUUGCAUUAUUUAUUAUCUUGAGAAAAUCAGCAUCACUAGGUCUAAAAUUCACUGGAAAAGAAUUAAGUGAGCCAACAAGUAAAGCUUUUCACACUUACAUAGAUAUUAUGCUCCUUUCCUAAUAUAUCUAAAUAUGCUGUGAUCCAAAUGUUCAGCAAAAUCUGGUGCCUGUUAGCUUCUGUUAAAAUCUUCAUGGAACAAUUAACUAAUAAACAAAAGGCUUAUAUAUAAUGAACAACAUAUUUGGCUGGAGAGUGAAAAAGAUUAUAAACAGCUUUUGUACCCUGUCCUCUAAAGUCUGAAAACAGACUGUCAGCCCCAAACACUCCAGUUACGAGAACACAUUGGAAAGGAGAUGGAGAAAGGUAGGCUCAAAACAAAUCAAGAUCAUAAGGCAAAAUACAGAGUUACAAAAAUGAUGUUGGAGUCUUGUUUCCUAACAUGUGUUAAGAUUUCUAUCAUUGCUGAUGUUAAUAAUUGACAUGAAAUACAGAGAGAGUUAGAUAACAGCAGGAACGCUCAGGCCAGGAACCCAUUUCAUUUUCUAGUGGUGUGAGGCACAGGGUAAGGGGGAAAUACACAGUGUCAUGACAGAGAUGCUCUUGCUUCACCGUGUUACUCUCAAGGUAUUUUGUAUUGUCUAGAAAGAGGAUUCUGGUUGUGGCAGGGAACAGGAAAAAGAACAAGAUGUGAAUUUAGUGUUUGUGGAAGUGAGAAUUAAUAGCAAAACCUUGAGCUGGGUAUAAGCUCUGCAGGUAUUGUGCAAGCCUCUUCACACAGCACUGCCAUCUCACCCCAAUUUAUGACCUGGAACAUAGAAAAUUUUACUGCUUUUAGCUGGGACUGCAAGUUGUACCAAAGCAUACAAUGAUUUCAUAAAUCCAAGGGAAAGAGGUGAAAGCUCCAAGUUUCUUUAGGUCUUUUGCCUAGCUCAGGUGCAGCCUGGAGAAAAUGUGAUGGCACACUGAAGCAUCUGAGCCUGCAGAUCACAGUGCCAACAUUUGAAUGCAGGGGUUAAAUACAGUGAUUCAGUAUUCCCUAACUCAGAGUGCAUGAGCAAGCCAGGAUUUGUAGCACAAGCAAAUACAGGUAAACGAGUAGGAAUGGCUUCAGAAUGGCUGCAGUUUACACUUUCAGGUAGGUAGACUAUAUCUUGAUUUUUUACCACCAUACCUGACAGGAAUAACAUUUUUAUCUUUCACAGAGUUCCAGAAAAUCUCAGCCAGCAUGGGCUGCUGAGAUCAGUGGGCUCAUUGUCCAGCUAGCUGGCCCCAAGAAUUCACCAGGGAGAGGGAGUUCAGACUUUCACUUCUCUUCACACUGUAAGAGUCCCUGCAUUCUGGUUCAUACCACCAAAAGCCAGCUUUAACCAGAGGUGAAUCUACUACAUGAUAUAACAAACGGCUAUUGCUCUUAUUUGCCCUGUAUGUUCUUAUCUCACAGUUCACAAUUAAUCACCACCCUGGAAAUCAAACACUGAAGUAUUUGUACAUUCUCUUUUAAAAUACAUUUCAAUUUCCUUUUAGUUGAACUGCCCUGUCCUUCGCCACACCUGCUCAAUGCACCAUUCUGCAUAGCACACUCUGUACAUACCUGGAGAGACUGAUGAGUCACACCAGACAGGGAACUUAAUCACCAUAGAAAGAAUAUGAGAUCAAAAAGUGUGAUGCAAUUGGAGUAUAGAGGGAUGUCUGUUCAUUAGGAAUAAUCACAUUUGCAAGUUGAUGAUACUUACAGCACCUCACGACUAAGGACUAGGUUCUGCUCUCAGUAACUUUAGUUUGUGAUGGCUGAAAUCUAGCUUACUCUUCUACUUGGAGACACUUCCCUCUUUGCAGAGAUAAUAAUUGAGAGAGGCUGAUUUUAUGGGAACAGCAGUACAGAUGAAUUGGUCUCCUAUCUAACAUUUAUAGGGAAGGUUGCCUUGGUAUCAGCAUAGAUCACAGGUACAGUUGGUUUCUCUGAAUUGCCAUUAAGCUCAGAGUACUCAUCAGGUUUUAGAACAAACACAUUAGAUUCCCAAGCCAUCACUGUCCCUCAUCAUACAACCUCUAAAGGAUUGCUCUGCUAUCUUUCUCAGUUUGUGAUGUGAUAUCAUUUGUUUGCAGGUACUGAAAUGGUUUUGCCACUCUGUAAUGUAUUCCACUAUGAAUUAAUAAGUUAUAUUUUACAAACAUGCAGAUGGCUCUGGAGAUUGUUAUGUUUCUAUGUGUCUACAGUCAUAUUACUGUGGCAAAUGCUCUCUGUAUAUUUGUUUAAAAGAAAACAAUUUCCAUACAGAGAAGCCUAAAACUAUCUAGUAGUGCUGAAAGCAAGACUCUAGGUGUUACAGACCUUGAAAUUGAUUCAGUGGAAUUCUUGUCACAAAUGCAAAGUCAGGUCCAGCCCAUUAUCUCCUUGGGUGAUUGCUACCAAACUUUCAAGAAUAUAGUUUUAGCAAUACCAGUGCUGAGAAAGAUCAGCUUCUUACAGUGUUAUGAACUGACCUUAGCCAGAAAUUGUUGAGCACAACUUGUAUGGGGAUGGUGUACCCACAGUGUUUCUCUGCAGUCUGGACCCUGUGACAUCCGGAUGGAGAAAGUGCAAUCUUUCUCUACAAAGAGACACUAUUGUACACAACUUUCUCCUCUCUCCUAAAGGUAGAACUAACCAAUAAUAUUGAGAACUGAAAAAGACAACAUGUGGAAGAGAGAGACACCACGAUCAAAUAAACCCUGUUUUCAUAGGAAAUGAGGCUACUGUAGUGGUAGGAAAUACCACAUAUCCUCAGAACUAAUACAGAUACUGAGCUCUGGGACUGCUGAACUUAGAUUAUGAAGGAAGGAAAAUGAACUAAUACUUUAUUCAAAGUUUUACUGGCAGCUCAUCUGUUCUGAUGAUUUAACUGUUGUUUACACUGAAACCAACAUGCAAGAAGAUUAUAGCCUGUGACUUCCAAGGGAGCAUGCUGUGGAAUUUUUGCAUUCUGCACAGUGUUGUGGGUUAGCAACCACUCCUGUGUGCUAACACAGAUCGCUUCAAUCCCUUGUGUUUAUCCUGUAAACAAGAAAGUGCUCCACACUGUUGUCCUAAAGAAAAUAGCUGAAAUCUGAAGCAGCUUGGUCCUGUUUAAGCUGUCCCCAGACACCCUGCCUACAACGCGGGUUUGUUUUUCAUUUAUUUGUUAAUGAAAACUGGCAGCAGAUGCCACACUUUUAUUGAACAUAUUAAUCAUUGAAAGAAAACAAUAUUUCUGCUGCUCUGGCAACUCCUGCACUAUGGGUAAAUAGGGCCUACUGCCUUCCUGUUAACCCUGUACGUAAUGUAGAAUCCCCUAAAGCUUGGGGGUGUUAUGCUAUAGUAUACUUCUGCUGUAAGAAACGAUGCUUAAAUGUGGAUUCAAGUAAGAUCUGUAACCAUCAAAUUGGCUUCUGAUUCAAAAUUCAACUUGCAGUAAUAAGAAAUAUAUGACAAGUGCUUGAAUGCCUGUGAGAAAUAAGAAUGCAGCCUUUAUCCAGCUGCUAGUUUUCACAGAAUAGUAAUAAGAAAAAGAACAGUUUAACACUACCAAUUCUUGUCAUUCACAGUGCUAAAAUAAACAGUAUGUGCUCAAUGCCUGUAAGGCACUAGGGAAUGGCUGCUGCAUAUGCCACAUAUUUCAUUCAUAAAUUUAUGGCUACUAGCACAUUUAUUUACUCAUAUUAUUAAAGGAUAACAUAACUGGAGGUGUAGGUGCACAAGCUACCAUAGAUAGAAUCAGCCCCUAAGCAAGCCUCUUCUCCUCCUCACUUCUCAUUCAUUGGUUAAAUUACUAAAGGUUCUCUUGGGGUAACUUUUCUCUUGAGAGCAAGCUACCCUGCAUACUUUGUUUUGAUAAAGAACAGCUUAGGUAGUUUUGUACCUAAGAGCUCCAAACAUUUAGCUUCAUUACACUUCUGCUGAUUUGUGCCAUGCAGCAGUUACAGCACCCUCCCUACCUGUGUCAACCCAGCCAGAAGAUAGGAUGGCACCAUUUAGAUGGGCUAAGAAAUCUUAAACUACUGCUAACAAGUACAACCUAUUCUUUUCAGCAAAGUUGCACUAAUGCAGAUGAUAAUCAUACCCUCUGUGUUCUCUUAUUCCCACAUUCAAAGCUUCUGAGGAAGCAAGGCAAACCAGAGAAGUGCAGUUCACAUAGCUAUGGAGGUACCAAUCAAAGACCAAAUGAAUCUUAGAGUACAAACCUGAAAAAUAUUGUACUCAUCAAAAAACCUGAUACUCGUAUGUAGUUUCUAUAUUUCCUACAGUGGAAAAAAAAUCCCUGAAGUUGAUCAAUUAAACUCAGUGGAAACAUCAAGAAAAAACUGUAAUCUUCCCGGUGCCUCGGUUACAAUGUACACUUGGUUACACAGAAGCACACACACCACUGAUGACCAAGUCAUCUGUGCUUCAAAAUUAUAGGAAAUUAUUCUGAGUAUAUCGAAGGAGAUGACAAGAUGUCCCUGGGGGUGGUCCGUACAUUCUUGUCUACAAAGAACAAAUUACCAUGGAAAACAUUUUAAUACAGAAUAUUUUACCAUAAUUAAUUAAGCAUUACUUUUCUCCUAUAAGACUAGCUGCUAAAUUCUUUUGUCAAGUCAGCCCUAGGAAGAAUCGUUUAAAUGCAUGUCUUCAUUUGUCUCUAUAAUCAAUUCAGUGCCAGUUAUAAAUAUGCCAAGUAAAUUAGUUUUACUUUGCUCUAUGUGAGACCAGGUCUCAGCUGUAUCCAGUGUUUUCCACAUAUCCUCCUUCUUUGUCCAGAUGUGAAUACAGUAGCAGAGAAUACCCUGGGAUAAAAAAUAGUGGCAGGAGGCACUGCAACGGAACAGUUUUAUGGGCACUCACACAGUUCUCCUGGUACUUACAGCGAGGACAUAUUUCAGUUUCUCAUUUUGGACAUCCUGGCAAUAGAUUUCCUCUCAUAUGGGAAAUUCAGAACUUGUUAAUUUUAACUGGUAAUUCAGUUCAAAUCUCUCCAGCAGAUACUGCAUUUUCCAUCCUGAAACAGGUGUUUUCUAGUGAGAACUGGGCUCACUCUGGCUUGGACGGGCGUUAAUACAAACUUGUGUACAGUCUCAACAUUCAUAAUUCUUCAUGUUAUAUCUUCUAGCUUUCCUCCAUCCUGCAGGUUCACCCUAAGGGUGUAAGUUUAUUGUCAACAGUAUUUAUUAAAUUAAAGACAGUGACAGCUGCAGUUCCUACAAUAAUAGUAAUUAAGGUUUUUUUCUUUCUACAUGAGUUUGAUUAUAGCAGAAUGAAUACAAAUGCUAGAAUAGCAGUUCUCUUCCUUAUUAGUUCUUAUGAUCUACAUCAUAUGAAAAUAGUUAUGAGUUAUUUGAGAGCAAUUCCUUAACAAUUCUUAAACCAAUUUUCUGGCAUUUGCUAGUGAAACCAACUGUUCACACGAGAUCACAAAAAUUCUACUAUUUUUCUCCCAGUUUGUUACCUGAAAUGCUUUAAAGUACUUACGGAAAAGGGCCAAUGAAUGAGAUUUCAGACUAACAAAAGUUGUUCAAAACCCCAAUGCAAUCACGACACUGUGCCUGCUGUAGCUUUAUUUGCUUGUCUAAAGAGGGCAGAUCUAUUGUUGGUACGAGUUAAUAUUACUACUGUACCUCAAGCAGCAAAACUUAGAAAUAUUUGAGUAUUCUUCUCACUUCAAGAGUUUGGAUGCAAAAUUUGACAUGCCUUAUAGGACACUGGUCGCUGGAAGGUUGCUUACCCAGUGUGUCUUAAGCAAGGAAUUGCAACUCAUGGCAUUUAUCUAUCUCUAUAUUUAUAUCCUGUUUUUCAAUACUCAAAGUCCUGGCCUCAGUAUUUAGCUGAUUCUCAUAAUGUUAGCUCUACUACUGCUACAGCUCCUAGGGUGAUCUGAGUUCUAAAUUUUUGUUUUUGUCUUUCAGAUAUCUGGAAAGACUAUGAAAUUCAGAAUUGAGAUGAAAACUAUGUGAUAAAUAGAAAAAAAUAACAGAGGAGCUCACCUCCAAGCACUACACUUUUGAAUAGCAUUUUCUGAAGUAAUAACUUGUUUUUCUCACCUAAAAAGACCUAAUUGUAGAGAAAGAAAAAACCAAACAAGAGUGAAAUAAGGAGCUUACCACCCUCCGAGUAAAGAAUUUCUUCCUUACAUCUAAUCUAACUCUACACUCCCCUAGUUUGUAGCUUUAGGGAUGUCCAUGACCUGUGAACACAGAGAACACACUUUCCAUACAUGGUACAUUUAAGUCCAUUAUAGUCAACAGAAUUUAUCCUUAGUAUAAACAGCCCGUGUUUGAGCUAAAAGAACAGGGCUAUUAAUUUUUGUUCAUGUUAGACAAGAAUUGGGAGAAAAUUUAAGCUUGGUUUCACCAGCUAACUGCAUGUAAGUACAUUUAUUCAUUUAUAAAAUGAACUGAUAACAAAAUUACUAAACAGAAAGCAAACCUAAUUAUUUUACAUUUGCCCUUGGAAAUCACAUCAGUCCUCUAACAUAUUCCGAAAAGGGGAAGUAAGAAGAGAGGUCAGUGAAGAGAAAGAGUGAAGUCAGAAUAUUCAUAACUUCUUCAAAUGAGCUUAGAAUAUGUUUUCUUUUCCAGAAAACAAAUAAUGGCUAAUUGUUUUUAAGCUCUUCUUUUAUUGUGUCUUUAUGCACUGUGUAUUUAGUUACUGCAGUUUGCUUAAAAAUUACAUCCUAGCUGAAAUGCUCUGUCUACUCUUAUGGUAGAUUUAUUUCAUUGUUCUUCCUUUCUUUUUUAGCUUUUACUUUGAUGCAGACAGAUGCAGCUGAAAAACUCUACCCUAUGAGGAAAUCAUUAAGUCCCUGGGCAACCUGAUCUAUCUGUGGUGUCCCUGUAUGUUGGAGGGGAGUUGGACUAGAUGGUCCUCAGAGGUCCCUUCCAACUCUAAGGAUUCCAUGAUUUGUAGUCAAGAUACAAAGUAGAUUGAUCAGUAGAUAUGUGGGAACUCAUGCUCCUAAGAGCUGCAUCUGCAGAACUGUUAGGUUAUCACCAUCCCCAGCCACUGGCAAGUUGUUCAAGUAGGAUAAUCCAACAGACUUUUGCAUGUCAAACUAAAAAAAAUCAAGCCAACAACAAAAUGAUGGAAUAAAAAUAGGAGUGAGGAAUUGCCAGGAUGAAAGUUUGUUAGCUAACCAGCACAAGCAUUUGCUUUCCUGCAGACCUCAUCCAUAGAAGCGGAAAGGGAACAUCCUGUUCUGCAGUAUUUCAUAAUGUAUGGCUGGGACAAAAUGCACAUCGGCACAGCAGGCUGAUAGUCCAGAGGAAGAAAUCUGUGCUUUUGUAAUGGUGUGCUUUGAUGCUGUUAGCAGCAGCAAUGACCAAUAAACUUCUGAAUGACGUUAAAGACAAACAGUGCUUCAAACCUUUUACACUACAAACCCAAGAAAACAGAGUGAAACAUCAAUUUGUAAUUAGAAUAUGUAUCAGAACAAAAAAUUAUGCAUAGCAUGGCACCAGAGGCCUGAAUUUCCUGCCAUCCACACUUGAAGAAGCAGAUAGUCUCAUUCUCUCUGAGUAUUUCACUAGAUUUGGAUGGUGACAUGCACAUCAGAGACUUUCUGUGUACAGAUGGAUUAAGAACAAUGAGUCAGCCUCUCUGCUUUAAUAAAGAAGAAACAAACUUAUAAAAACACCCCAAUGAUUUUUAGUAAAUCAGACAAGGUUAUACAAAUAAAAUACUAUAGCCAUGUGAUUUCAGUAAAGCCAAUUACGCCUAAAUAGCCACAAUGCAAAGGUGUUAGCUGUUCCUUCCUAGUUACUCAUUAUCCAAUCUUCAUUAAUCAUAAAAAAUGUCUUUACAUUAUUCUGGAUUCUAUAACCGCAAUCUCCCAAUCAGCGUUUUGCUCACGUGGCCUCGUUUCACCUGCUAUCCUCUCUUUCCUUGCUAAGAUAUUUUGCAAUAUCUUGUAGAUAUUCCAGUUUGAGUGGGAGUUUCAAAGCAGGGUAGUAGGCUAGUGCAGAUGGAACCUUUUCCAGGUUAAUCUGGAUGUUUUUGCUUUCUUCCCCACAUUCUAUGAUAAUUUUUUUACAUUUUAUAAUCAGUGAAGAUGAGUAGAGAAGCAUUUAAAUAUAUUUCAGUUGUUUCAAGGGCUGAUAAAUCAAACUAAGCAAAUGAAAAACCAAACUCCUCACGCAGAUUUUCCCCCCAUUUCCAGUUCUAAAUGAAAGACCUGUAUAGAUCAUUCGUAGUAAUAAAUGGAAAAUAUAAUAUUAAAAACACAAGAAUGAAAACUCAGUUUAUCCGGUGAUGCAAUUCCAUUCUGUCUGUAGCAGCUAGCACUCAAUGCCAGGUGUUAUGCAGAGAACAUAGAUGUGAAUGUACACCGAUUAAAAUAAUUAAAAACAAAUGCAGGAGUAGAAUCCACACAAACUGACAGUCUGAAAGCAAAUAACAAAUGCAUUCAUUACACAUGCUGUGGAUGCCAUUUUUUCUUUGUCUAUAUUCUGUUCACUGCAAUUGCUCUGCAGUUGUAUAUCCCUAUGAAAAUAAUGGUUAAUACUUAAGAAAGAGAAACAAUAGCUGGUAAAAUAACUGCUAAUUUCUUAGGCUUCGGGAUUAAAGAAAAAUAUUUCUCCAAAAAAGUUGUAUGUCUUACUUAUUAGACAUUGCAGACAUGAACACAUUAAAUUGAGACAGGUUAAAUGAUACAUCUAGGCCAGGUUAUGUUUAUUUGCAGAAAGUUCUACAAGCAAAAAUCAAAUGGGAAGAAUAAUCAGAGGAGCAUCCGUCAGAUCUUCCUCCCCCUGCCCCUCCACACUGAAAAAAAAAAGGAUGCAAGAAAGCAUAAUUCUGAAGAGCACUGCUGAAUACAAUCCAGAAGGCAGAUUCAUUAUAUGCAGGAGAGCUUGUAACUACCAGUGAAAGAAUUUCUGGAAUUGCUACCACUCAAGUUCAAGAUGAACACAUCAUCACUUACCUGAAUAUUACCAGCUGUCAAGGCGACCAGUUUUGUGGUUCAUUAGAAAGACCAAGUCGUAAUGAAAAAAAUUUAUAAUGUUAAAUGCAGUCAUCAAGAGAAAAGGUGAAACAGAAAAGAUUCCAAUGGGGACAUUAGGAGAAAAUUACAGAAAUCUUUAACACAGAUUGAAAAUGCCAGUGAGCAGAGCCAUGAAGUGAAAGAACAAGUCUCACUAUGUUUCCAACAUGGAAUUUACACUGUAAAAAAGAACAACUGAAGAACACACACAGAUGUUUCUAAACUAGUCGGGUAGAUACCAACAAGAUAUUUGCAGGACAAGCUUUCUCUCUGACUGCAUUCAAGCCCACCUUGAUACCACCGCUGCCUUGUCUUCAUGUCAAGUGACUAUGCCUUAAGUAUUGCACAGGGAUCCCUUGACAGUAUCUCUUCCUAGAUACUUUGUCACCCACUGAGGUAAACAGAAUUCACUGUGUGAAUUUCUGAUGGCAUGCCCAGCACAGCAGAUUAACUCUGAAGACAAAGCAUACUACUACGGGAGCUGCAACACAAUGCUUCUCCACCCACAGCCAUAGCUUCAUCUCACUUACAAGUAACCAGCUACUUGUAAUGCCCUCACAACCAUCAAUACACAGUCUGAUAGCUUUUACUCUUACGAAGAAAUAAAAUCCAGUUAAAUCCUUCCUUUUGGAUAAUAACUCAUAUCACAGUGUGCACUCGUAAAAGUGGUGCUAUUUUAUUUAAAUAUUGUGCCUUAGUUAUUGUACAAGCAAUAUAAAUUUUAUUGCAUGUUUUAUUGUUACAUAGCAUUCCGUGCAAUAAAGGCAUCUUAGUCACUUUUUACUCUCCUGAAAAGGAUUGCUUUCCUAUAUGACCAACGUGGCAAUAAGCAUACCUCACUAUGGCUUUUUCUUUAAUAUAAGAAAGUCCUUUUCAUGCUCCACUACCUAUUUUCUUGUGUAUAAAAAUCCUGAAGAACUGGUCAGAGGUUGAGGCAUAAACUCAGCAGCUCUCUGUCAUCAGACCUCAGCAGCCCCUUCCAUGAGGCCCAUAAGAAGGAAAUUCAUUUCCUGACUCUUCCACGCUUGCCUUUCCUGGUAAGAAUAGCAAUACGAGAGAACAUACCAAAGGAAUAAGGAUGGAUUAAUUGCAUUAAUUAGUGUAUAUAAACUGCAUGUUCAUUCCCUGUGACAUUAUUUUAAAAUCAGAUUUUUAUAAAAUUUUAUUUUUCAGCUAGAAAUAAUUGAUCAUUAUGGCAGCCAUGGUUUUGGUCCAUCCAGAAUAAUGGCAUAGGGAUAAUGCAUUGGUAGAGCCAACAGAAUUUUAGUAAGUAGUAUAAAAACCAGCAACUGUCCUGAGUCUGCUUUGAGGCAAUUUUACUGUCUUGACUGCUGGAUUAACCAAUAUCCUAUCAACUGUCCUGGAUCAUCAGAAGCAAAUACCUUUAAUAAAAACCACCACAGAUGCAAUGCUAGAUUUGUUAGACUUCAUCAUAAAUUACAUUAACUCUUUAUUACAUUUACACAGAGCCCCUUACCAAGUGAGGAAUUAUUUGAUUAAUCCUUUUCUAAUGUAAACAACCAAAACACCAGCUCUCCCAAUUACUCUGCCUGUACUAACAGAGUCUACUAAGCAACAGCUGUUCAAACAUUUGUUAAAUCACUUCACAGCAAAUAAGAUUGCAGUGCUGCAUGCCUGUUCCUCAUUUCAACUUUACCACAGCAAUACUGCACAUACACUAAAAACACAUGCCGAAUGCACAAGUAUCUAUAAAAACUAUUUCAUCUUAAUUAACAACGUUUUAGAGGAAACUGGGAAGUUCAAUCGGUAAGAAGCAUCUAAAAAGUUGAAAAAGACAAAUAGAUUCAUUCAUUCUGAAAUAUAAUUCCUAAGAAUAUGCACACAGAAGUGAAAACAACCUGGCCUUAUACUUCAGUGCCCAAAGUCUGACCUGACUAUUGUUAUUUCUAUUUUUUUUAAGCAAUGUGGCAGAACAGAGGGCUCUCUUGAGAGACACUGAGCAAGCAGGUGGUGAAGAGAAUGCCCGGUUCUAACAGAGGCAUGAAGUGACUUGCAGGAAAAAAGCGACUAGAAAGCUGGGGAGCCCUUCUGGCUUCCCAAA